UAUAUGUUGAUUUUAAAGAUUAUUUACAUCAAGGAACAUAAAAACAAGGUAAGGUGCAUUGGGGCAAUUUCGAAAAUGGGUAUAUUCCGAAAAUGCAAAAAAUCUACCAAACACAGCAAUAUAUUCCAGCCGGCAACAUUAGGCCAAGCGCCAUCUUAGAUUUACUUGUGGCGACAGACGUCGCGAGCCGCUCGCGCUAACGACACGUGAGUAUCGUCAAAUUAUUCAAGAGAAGUGAUUUCGCGCCAAAAUUUAGUGAUUCGUAAUAACCCCAACAUCGUUUUCUCGAAAUUCUGUGUCAUCAUGCCUCGUACUUAUUUAAAAAAGAAAAAUAAGACAUACACUCCUCAAGAUUUAGCCACUGCCAUACAGAAGGUAAGAAACGGGGAGCUUACCGCAUAUGCUGCUGCACAGAAGUACAAGAUACCAAUGACCACUCUUCAUGACCAUGUCAAAACUAAAGACACUAGGCAGAAUGCAGGUAGACCCAAAUCAUUUAAAGCAAUAUGGGAUGCAAAACUGGUAGAGUGGCAGAGAAGAAACGUUGGUACGAAAAUGCCAAAAAACGUUUUCGCACAAACUAUGGCAGAUACUUGGCAACAAACGAACCCCGAAGUUAUAAAGAGUGGAUUUAAAAAGGCUGGAAUAUACCCUUUUAAUGCACAUGUCAUACCUAUUGACAAAUAUGAUCCAGACGCGUAUCAAAGAUACAAGAAAACUUUGCUUGCCCGCACACUCAAACAGCCAAAGUCACUCAAAGAAAUAUGCAUUGAAUCAUUCAACAAUCAGUUUGCAACAGUUAAUGAAACUAUUGAAAUAACACGCAAUAAUUACGUUGCCUUGCUAUCUGCACAAUCAAGAAAUAAUGCCCAAAUGAUGCCUUUUGAAGCCAGACACCCGAGCCAAGUACCAGCAUGUUUGCAGAAUUCGAAGCCAACAAAAUCCUAAAUAAAUAUAAUAUCAAACAUAGUCAUAAAGGAAGCAUCGCAAGUACCACUUCAAAACCCGUUUCAACUCAAUCCAACAGUCUCAUUUGAAGAAUUAUUGCUGAGGAAAAUUCAACAGGAUAAAAAGAAUAGUGAUCCAACAAAAAAAAACGUGUUACAAAAGGUGCGGAAGUGAUAAUUGCAGCCACAGGAAAGAAAAUUCUAGAAGAAGUGAAAGAAACGAAAACUAAAACCAGUAAAGCGAAUGAUAAACGAAAACGUAAACGGAACCCUUCCUCUGAUACCACAAGUAUAUCCAAUAUUAUCAGCAAUCAUAGCGAUUCUGAUAUUAUUGAUUGUAUCGAUUUUGAAGACUUGAUGGAAGACGAAGAUAAUAAUAUAAUAUAAUUUCUACCAGGAGGAGACAAGUUUACAGAAAUCAAGAAAAGAUAGGAAGUGUGUUAUGAAGAUGAAGAAAAACGAUAAAAACAUCACCAGUGAAAAGGCAUUCGCUGACAAAAGUACAAAUAAUGCAUGUUCUAAGAAAGGCAAAGGUGUUGGGAAGAAAAGCAAAGGUAAAGAAAAUCAGAUAGACAAAAAUGAAGGAAUCAGUUAUUUUGCAACAGGUGAAGAAGACGUAAAUGAGCAGAUUGCAGAAUAUCCUAAAGAAACCCAAACCUGUAAAUUACAGCCACCAGGAACAGAGAAUAAAGAAUUAGCAUGUGGAAUUCCAGAAAAGUGCCCCGUUGUAAGGGAACGUUAUGAUUUAAAUGAUACAGUGCUUGUCAGGUAUUUUAUAAGAAACAAAUGGAAAUAUUAUGUUGGGUUCAUACAAAACAUAAGCAAACAUGAAGAACAACUGUACUUUAUCGACUUCUUAAAAACGUCCAGAAGACAGCAAUAUCUCAGUUUUGUUAAACCUAAAAAGAAAGAUACGGACCAAGUUCCAGAGUCAUUAGUAGUAAAGAAAAUAGAAUUACAGAAAAAACGAGAUCAAGACAAAGAAUAUUACUUGACCCAUGAUGAAGACACUAUUUAUUUCGACUGAUUUUAUACCAAAAAGUAUCUACCUAAGGAAAACGUCCGCCUUCUAGAUUAGUUGCAUACCUACUUAUUGAUUUCUGACACGCGAAUAUUAGACAUUUAAAUAAAACUACUUAAAUUAAGGACUUUAUCGCGGUAAUAUUAUUUAAUCCCGGCUUUUCGGACCCUUUACAGCAUCCAUGGUCACGGGCAGACUUAGAUGUCAGUCGUCUUGAUAUUUUAUUUGCAAACAUCAAAUAUCAACAAAAUGGAUCAACUGAUAAUCAACAAAAUUUAGGGUAGCUGUUUGCAACUAAAAUACCAAGACAACCAACACCUAAGUCUGCCCGUGACCACGGAUGCUGUAAAGGAUCUGAAACGUCAGUAUUAAAUAACAUAACCGCGAUAAAAUCGGUAAAAAUAGUUUUAUUUAAAUGCAUACCUACUUCUUUUUAUUGAUAUUAUGUUUUUGUUAUGUUAUUGUUGCGAUGCCUAACUGUAGUUGGCUUCAAAUAACAUUUGUGUUUUUAUUUUUUAUUUUACUAUCGCAAGAUUCUGAAGAGUAGCCAAAAAUUAUCAAAAAGUCUUUGAUUUUUAUGUGAUUUAAUAAUUAUGUUUAAGGAUUGUUACAAAAAUUGUUUUUGUUUUAAUAAUUCUAAUUGUUCCCCACAUUACUCGAUGUGAAGUUACGUACUUAUUAAAAUUAAAGUUGAUCUCACUGA